AUAGAGGGUCCAAAUAACAGACCCUGCUCUUGGGAAAGUCUGCUGCUUCCCCUAGCCUAGGUUAAGGACAUCACUGGGAAACUUCCUGAUCUGGUAUGGCCCUUGGAGUAUUGCCGGUUGCUGCUUUUCCUUGUGGGUGGUGAUGAAACCACAAGGUACAGUCCAGAGUUAAUCUAAAGUGUCUUCAGAGUCUUGGCACAAUUGGGGAGGGAAUCUGGAACACAGGUCACAUUUUCCUUCCAGCCACAGGAAGCAACAUUGGAAGAAAUAGAUGGGCCCAGUGUGUUAAUACCUGACUGAGAUGUGCUGACAAUGCUGCAGCACACUGGAAGAUUUACAGAGAAGAGCCAGGUGUUCCUCAGAUGAUAGAACUCACCACGGAAACUACUGGUACAUUACUAGUCCAUAACAAAAAAGAGCGUUCUUUGAUCCUCCUUUGAUCCAGUGAAGAUUCUGGGAUGCCAUGAUGGCUGCUUGUAGUUCCACUAGUAUUUUGGGUGGACUUGAACACCCCUUGGAAGUGAAAUCCAGAAAACAAACCAGUCUGGAACAAAGUAGGAAAAAAUGGGUUAUGAUCCUGUUCCUCUUCUAGUGAAGGUAAAUCCUACUCAUUUACAAAGCAGCUGAAGACUUGUCACUACACAGCACACCAAGGCACUUUAUACUCCAGGUAUCUGUGUC
rnacentral:lncRNA from 1 species